GACGAACGCUGGCGGCGUGGAUUAGGCAUGCAAGUCGAACGGUAUCAUCCUUUCGGGGGUGAGAGAGUGGCGAACUGGUGAGUAACACGUAGGUUAUCUACCCUCAAGACGGGGACAACCCAGGGAAACUUGGGCUAAUACCGGAUGUGAGCAACUUUUAGUUGUUUGAAAGGUGGCGUAAGCUGUCGCUUGGGGAUGAGCCUGCGUCCUAUUAGUUAGUUGGUGAGGUAACGGCUCACCUAGGCAAUGAUAGGUAGGCGGCCUUAACGGGUGGUCGCCCACACCCUGGGAUUGAGAUACGGCCCAGACUCCUACGGGAGGCAGCAGUCGAGAAUAGUCUACAAUGGUCGGAAGACUGAUAGUGCGACGCCGCGUGAACGAUGAAUCCCUUCGGGGUGUAAAGUUCUUUUAUAUGUGAGCAGUGCUUCUUAUAUUAACAGUAUGGGGAGAGAGAUAUUAGCAUAUGAAUAAGCAACGGCUAACUCCGUGCCAGCAGCCGCGGUAAACU
rnacentral:rRNA from 1 species